UACGGAGGGUGCAAGCGUUGUUCGGAUUUAUUGGGCGUAAAGCGCGUGUAGGCGGUUUCUUAAGUCUGAUGUGAAAGCCCUGGGCUCAACCCAGGAAGUGCAUUGGAUACUGGGAGACUUGAAUACGGGAGAGGGUAGUGGAAUUCCUAGUGUAGGAGUGAAAUCCGUAGAUAUUAGGAGGAGCACCGGUGGCGAAGGCGGCUACCUGGACCGAUAUUGGACGCUGAGACGCGAAAGCGUGGGGAGCAAACAGG
rnacentral:rRNA from 1 species